GCCUGGGUGGCUCAGUCGGUUGAGCGUCUGACCUCGGCUCAGGUCACGAUCUCACAGUUUGUGGGUUCAAGCCCCAUGUCAGGCC
rnacentral:tRNA from 1 species